AGAGCAGUCAAGAUUACUAAUGGCAGGACAGAAAGUAACAGCAACAAAAGGAGAUCGAGGGCCGGGCCGGAGCUGGGAAGACAGCGCUAAUGAGAACACUGAGAUGCAUUCCAGGCGAAAGGGUAACCCAAAAAUGAGCUGGAAUUCCGGACCAGAUCACCUGAUGCCUGAGUUUCUGGGGCUGCUUCCCCCUCUCCAGACGCGGAUACUGAGACUCAAGAGGCCACCCCAGUGUGGACCGCUGGUGCAUGACAGAAUCGGGAUUCUGACCAGAGCUGUCUGGUCCCAGAGCCUGUGCUUGUGACUGUGAUGUGACGCAGGUGAAUCUAGAAAUGGAAUUGCCUAAGGAUUUGGCAGAAGGUGAAAAAGAAGAGCUAAAGAGGAGCAUAGAAGGAGACACUUGGCCUUUGUGCCCAGAGAAGAAAGAGAAUGCCUUUGGGGAGGUUUCGAUCACCAGACGGCCGGCCCUCAGCAACACUGAAGCCCAGAAGUCGGAUUGCCCAGCGACUUAUGGGGAGUGACCCCUUUGUUUCUCUGAAGCGUCUCCUCCUAAUCCCCUUAGCUCUAUAAAAGCCCGCUGCUUUCUGUUCUUGGGGAGACAGACUCCAGCAUACCCGGGCUCCCAUCCACUCAUUUUGGCCAAUUUAAUUAAAUCUUUCUCCAUCUCCAAGCACCAGUGUCUCAGUGUUUGGCUUGCUGUGCAUCGGGCACACAAGCUUGAGAUUAAGAGGUUCAGUAUCGAUUGUUCUUUUUAAUUGCCUGAAACACAAGGCUCAAAUGAUCCUCAGAAGAAGACUGGCUCGCACACAGCCUAGUAGCACACAGCCUCAGUGCUGGACCGCUGUGAAAAAUUCCAAUCCAAUGGUGGCUUGUUUAUUUUAAAUUAUUCAAAAUCAUUUUAAAGCCUUAAAAAUGGAAGUAGUUGCAACUUCAUGUGGUGAAAUAACAUGGGUAUUUGAGAAGAGAAAUGUGAUAUUGUUUAUAAUGAUAAUAAUAUCGGCCACCACGUACUCGCCCUUACCGUGUUCCAGGUUUUCUACUAACUGCUCUGUAUACCUGCUCUUCAACCCAAAUAGUUCUCAGGGUUAGCACAGUGCUUCUCAUUUUCUGCUUGCUGUCUUCAUUUCUACUUUGUUAAUCUUAAUGCAUACACACUCUUUAUCUUAACGCACUUCAAAUUUCUUUUGAAACGAGGCAGCAUUCUGAUCAAUGAAAAUAUUUUGGAGCGAUUUUCUAAAGAGUGAUCGUAAAGGCUUUAGUUUAUCUUAAAUUUUAGAGAAUGGAUGGUUUACCCAGAAGGAAGACAACAGCCGUUCCUGUUAAAUUAUUCUGCUAAUGUUUACUUUGGAAAACGGUGGUAUUUUAUGCAAACGAAAUUGGAAAGCCUCCAUUUGGGCUCUGCAGGGACAAAGGCCUUUCCUGUGACUAAGGAUUGUCUGGUGGAGCUUCUGGAGGAAGGCUUCGUCAAUUCCACACCUGCCCGUGGAUCACACGGGGCAUGUGGGGUGGGUUCUAGAAUGAAGUCUGACUCACUCUUUUUCAAUAUAAAUAAUGUGUAUUCAUAUACAUGUAAUUGUUGCACUUUAUGAACAAUUUAUAUAUGUGUGUGCAUAUAAAUAUACUAUG